AAAAAAAAACCCCGAAAUUUCUAAAUUACCAUUCCAAGCAAGCUGCAAAAUACACCAAAACAAUUCCAUAUAACCAACAACAACAAUAAGCACAUAAAACAAUAUAUAAUUCAUCAACUACAUAAAAUCUAGAUCGUCUAAAUUAAUAUCCGCUUCUGGGGGUUGCUGCGGAGGUUGCGGCGGCUGGGGUAGUGGUAUAGCCAUAGGCAUGGGCUGAGCCGGAAGUCCAUGAAGUUGGGCAGCUGUAAACUCCUACAUGUACUGGAGCAUCUGCCGCUGUUGGGCCUGCUGGAUGGCAUAUACCUCGGCAGUAUAGGCUGUCUGCGCGGCAUUAUAGGCAGCCUGAGCAGCUUGCUGUUCCUGUAGUCUCUAAAUUUCCGACUCUAGCUGAGUCGUCCUGCUGGUGGUCGAGGUCCUGCUGCUGGUCGAGGCUGCCUUUCGUUGAAAUCCUGGAGUGGUCUUCAGGACCCCCUCGCCCUUCUUUCCUAGACCCCGGCAGUAGAAGUUGUUUGCUCGCGGUGGGAAAGCUGUGCCCAUGAUCCUCGCCCCAACCCUCGGAUCCGAAGUGUCGAUCCGGGACAUGACUUCGGACAUCUCUUCCUCCUGCGUGUCCGGCCAUGUCUCCCUCACUAUAGUACUCAUCACCUCGUCACUAGCCUCCCUCACCUUCGCCUAAUUGGAUAGGAAAAAAAUGAUUAAUUAACAUUUUGACAUAUAUAUAAGUAAAAUAAAAAAUUAAAAAACGUAAGAUGACUUACAAUAUCCCCCUGGGAGUCAAGAUAUGCCUUCUCGUACGUAUAGAUGUACUGGUUGACUUCUAGAUGUUCCUGGCCACCUCAUCCAUGAAGACAGCGAACGGUCUAGAACCGGCAUGAUGGUUCCUUGUGUUGCGUUACCGGUUCUGAGCGUUCGCCCGGGAAACGGCCUUCAAAGAAAAAACUAAACUAUUAGUAAAAUAUUUAAAAACGCACGUACUUAAUGACAAAGUAACUAAUUAAUUUUUUUAAAUACCUGUUUACGAGGGUUGUUGAACUCUGAUGUCAGAAGCCAACGCCACUCGUACUCCCUGUACUGGAACUCAACAGGGGUACCAGAACGUGCGUU
rnacentral:lncRNA from 1 species